UAAAAAAGUGUGUGUGUAUGUCUGUGUUUGUGGGUAUGUAGGGGAGUCCUCCUAAAAACAGAGGUUUCCAGGGUAACAGCUUAAAAAUUCAACCCCACUCUGCCAAAGAAAGCUCCCUAUGUCCUGACUCCCUGAGGGGGAAACAGGUCAGAGGCUAACACCACCAACUCCCACAUUUAUCCAGGUCAAGGGCAAAGUCGGGGCCAGCCCUAACUUGGUUACAGCUCAUGUUUUUCUCACCUCCAGUUUCCAGUUUCAGGCUCCAGACUUGCCCUUCUACCUGCCCUCCAGGAUUCCCCUUUCUUCUUUCCCCAGCUUCCCUGCCC
rnacentral:lncRNA from 10 species